CAAAUAACUUGAGCUCUAAAACUAGGUCUGCAGGUAGGUAUUUCAACCUCCAAAAACAUAUUUAACAUAGUGGCAAGAUCACAAAUAGUUGGUAGGUCUGUUUUUACAAUUAAAAACUGUCUAAUUUAUAACACACUGGGAAACAGAACAUUAAAGUAAAAAAAGGGGGGGGGCAAAAAGUAAAAAACGUAAAACUCAUGGAAACUAGGGAACUUAAUCUCAAUGGUAAACACUCUGAGUUCCAACUUAGAAUCUCAACAUAAGUUUUCUGUCUUCUCAAUAGUCCUAGAAGUUUAGAAAAAGAGACUCCCCUCCUCUCUGUGAGCAACUGAACAAGUAGACACACCCACCGGUAGCCAUUCUCUCACCUCCACCUGGAUGUUGCUGAGGAUAUGUUCACUUACUUCAAGAAUGGUAGCCCUUCUCCGUGAGGAUUCAUAAAAGGAAUUUCUCUGAGCACAAAUCAUUGGGGCAGAAAAUUUAUCUUUCAUCUUGGUAACUCUACAGUAUCUAGCAUGGUGACUGAAGAGAAUAAGUGCACCACAAAUAUUUGUUCAAUUGCAUGAAGCCAUAACAGAUAAUGGUACCCGCUAAGGGGUCAUUGUACCACACUAUUUAGCUCUCUGCAAAUUGCCAAGUAAAAGAAAUGAAAUCACUAGCACUUAUUUUUCUA